GAAUCUUCGGCAAUGGACGGAAGUCUGACCGAGCGAUGCCGCGUGAGUGAAGAAGGUCUUCGGAUUGUAAAGCUCUGUUAUUUGGGAAGAAGAGUUAGCAUAGGGAAUGAUGCUAGCGUGACGGUACCAAAUGAGAAAGCCACGGCUAACUACGUGCCAGCAGCCGCGGUAAUACGUAGGUGGCGAGCGUUGUCCGGAAUUAUUGGGCGGAAAGGGUGCGUAGGCGGUUACUUAAGUCUAGUUUGAAAGCCCAUGGCUUAACCAUGGAGGGCGACUGGAAACUGAGUAACUUGAGGAUAGGAGAGGAAAGUGGAAUUCCACGUGUAGCGGUGAAAUGCGUAGAGAUGUGGAGGAACACCAGUGGCGAAGGCGGCUUUCUGGCCUAUAACUGACGCUGAUGCACGAAAGCGUGGGUAGCAAACAG
rnacentral:rRNA from 1 species